rnacentral:rRNA from 1 species
UACGAAGGGGGCUAGCGUUGCUCGGAAUUACUGGGCGUAAAGCGCACGUAGGCGGUCUUUUAAGUCGGGGGUGAAAUCCUGGAGCUCAACUCCAGAACUGCCUUCGAUACUGAAAGACUUGAGUCCGGGAGAGGUGAGUGGAACUGCGAGUGUAGAGGUGAAAUUCGGUAGAUAUUCGCAAGAACACCAGUGGCGAAGGCG